rnacentral:tRNA from 1 species
GAGGUUCUAGCUUAAUUAAAGCAUCUGGGUUGCAUUCAGAAGAUGUAGGUUAAUGUCCUACGGAUCUUA